rnacentral:tRNA from 1 species
GCGGGUGUAACUCAGUGGUAGAGUAUCAGCUUCCCAAGCUGAGAGUCGCGGGUUCAACUCCCGUCACCCGCUCCA